UUUUAUACAUUCAGAAGAUUAAAUUACACAUUUCACUUUCAUCUAUAAGAAGUAUAAUAUACCUCUGAGGAUGCAAAAACAAUCUAAUCUCUCAGACCGUGUAUGCUUGCUGAAUCGUGUCGAUGUCCAGACCCUUCAGUCUCACUACUGAUUCAACAUGCCCUUUCAGGGUAUGCAGUUCUCUUAGUCUUGCAAUCUCAGCUCGUCGUUUUGCCUCUUCAGCCAUCUGAUUAAGUUCUGUGUAACUACUGCGGUCGUUGAACAUCUUGGUAUCAGGUGGAUGCAAACCAUGCAGGGUCCUUUGUGCAUGUGCCCAUUUAAGCUCACGUUCUUCCUUCCCAAAAUCUUUUUUCC
rnacentral:misc_RNA from 1 species